GCUUCGGCCUUUUCCUUUUUCUCUUAAGUGCCGAAGUUGUAUCAGUAAACCGAUAUCCUCACAAAUUCAUGAUAAACUGAGUACGACUUCAGCUGACACAACAUGCCUCCUAAAUUCGACUCCAACGAGAUUCAAAUUGACCCCCAAAAAGGUGGUUGACGUUGCAAAGGCCACCAGUGACUGGAAGGUCCUGUAGAUCACGGUGUAGAAGCUGACUCUUCAGAAUGGGCAAGCAGCUGUAUGCCUCUGAGAUUCACUCUGCGUGUCAGCUUGUGAGGUUCUCUACCCCUAAGAUGUUUACAAGUUUUGUAAUCAUCCCAAAUUGAAGUUGUGCCAUCACCCUCUGCCUUCAUCAAGGCCCUGAAAGAUCCUCCAUGUGACUGGAAGAUCAAGAACACACUCUGGGAGUGUUUCCCUUUGUGAUUGUCAACAUUGCCCAUGUCAUGAGAUCAUCCUCUAUUGCCAGGGAGCUUUCUGGUACCAUUUUACGGAGCGUCUUGGCAUGUCUGUGGGCUGCACAGUUGGCGGUCACCAUUUAACUACAGCAAUAGCUGUCAAAUCGAGUGCCCAUCUGAAUAUUAUGCAAUGAUUGCAGAUGAAAAGAAUAAAAUAAAAAUUGGGUCAUAAUUAAAGUCUGUCAAUUA